rnacentral:rRNA from 1 species
GAUGAACGCUGGCGGCGUGCCUAAUACAUGCAAGUCGAGCGAACGGACGAGAUUCUUGCUUUUCUGAUGUUAGCGUCGGUCGGGUGAUUAACACGUUGAUAACCUCCCUAUAAUACUGGUAUAUCUUCGGGAAACCGGAUCUAAUACCGGUUUAUUUUUUGAACCUCCUUGUUCAAAAGUGACUGACGUUUUUGCUGUCUCUUAUAGAUGUAUCCUCGCUGCAUUAGCUAGUUGGUAAGGUAACGGCUUACCAAGGCAACGAUUCAUAGACGACAUGAGAGGGUGAUCGGACAAACUGGAACUGAGACACGGACCAGACUCCGACGGGAGGCAGCAGUAGGGAAUAUUCCGGAAAGGGCGAAAGCAUGACGGAGCAACGCCGCGUGAGUGAUGAAGGGCAACGGAGGGUAAAACUCUGUUAUUAGGGAAGAAAAAAUGUGUAAGGAACUGAGCAAAGAUUGACGGUACCUAAACAGAAAGGCACGGCUAACUACGUG